AGUGUAAUUUUGUGGGGCUAAUAUUUUUAAUGUCUCUCCCAAUAUUUUUUUAAGCCAAACAAUAAAUCCUGUUUGGAUCAAUUGAAAAAAAUUAAAUAGCUGAGGAAAUUCUUAAGAGCCAGACUAAGAGAAUACUGCAAUAGGUCAAUGUUGAAAUUACCCUUUAAUUGUUAAAACCAUUUACAGGAAACAAAGUAUUCUGAUACUUUCUUUUUUUUGCUCAUAAGAUACAGGAAAUGUAAAGCCAGGUGAUUAGCAUUUCACCUCCCACUCAGAGCUGCUUGUGGUCAUUUGAGAGCAGCGGACAAUGAGAGAGGAUCACAGAUCUCUGAGCGGAUGGGUGGUCUUCAUCACAGGUGUAGCUCUUGCUUCAUCAGCUCAUCAUGUCAUAACUCCACCAUCACUCACCAUCCUGCUUGGACAAAUGGCAUACUUUAACUGCACUGUAGUGGAAAAAGGCAAUUGUGAAGAAGUCAGCUUGUAUUGGCGUCAUAAGCGCCUGUUCCAGAAUGGCUCAGAAGGAGAUUCGAAAGAUAUUAAAAAUGGAGGGAGAUAUUCCAUUAUUUAUGGAGUUUUAUUCAGCUCUUUGCAAAUUAAAAAUGUGUUCUUCUCUGAUGAGGGGUUGUAUUUCUGCUCAAACUUCUGCUUUGGGAAAAGGACCCGAAUUAUUGAACAGAAGUCACAGCUCAUGCUUGAAGCCCAACCCCAAGUAAGCAUCACUUCUUCCAUAUCACCUGAUGCACCUGAUCUCCUGAUCCUGACCUGCAGUGCUCUGAGUUUCUACCCUUCCAAUGUGUCCUUCACCUGGAAUCUCACUUUUGUUGAAGUGCCCCACAUCAUCCAGCAAGGGUCACCCAAUCUCCUUCAGAAUGGCACCUAUAGCAGCAGCUCCACUCUAAAGAUCAGAACCUCCCAGUGGAGCUCAGAAGUGGUGAUUGAAUGUGUGGUGAAUCACAGUUCUCUGACUCAGUCACAGUUCAAAUACAUUAGACAUUCAGGUCCAUCUUCAGGUGUGGAUCUCUGUCAGCUGAAAAUGGUCCUGCUGUCUUUGGGUUUGGUGUUGAUGAUGUUGGCUGUCAUGGGGGUACAUGUGAAGUCCUGCAAAGGAAACAGUUGAGUAUCCAGUCCAAAUCUGGAUCUUAUACCGGAAGAGGAAAGUGACAUACCUCCAGUAGUCUGAAGGUGAAAGGCAUUUUGAGGAAAGACUGAAGAAAAUCUGAGGACUGGAGUAAAAUGCAUUAGGAUACAAAUAAUUAUAAUUUUGUGCAUUUUUUCAACCUUUAAACUGUGUGCUUUUACAGAACACUUCACUUUGUGCUUGCAAAAUGCUUAUUGUUAGUGCUAUGCAAGGAUUCUACAUACAGUAAAUAUUAUUUAUUCAUAUACCAUA